rnacentral:rRNA from 1 species
GAGUUUGAUUCUGGCUCAGAUUGAACGCUGGCGGCAUGCUUUACACAUGCAAGUCGAACGGCAGCACGGAAGAGCUUGCUCUUUUGGUGGCGAGUGGCGAACGGGUGAGUAAUACAUCGGAACGUACCGAGUAGUGGGGGAUAACUGUCCGAAAGGAUGGCUAAUACCGCAUAUUCUCUGAGGAGGAAAGCAGGGGACCUUCGGGCCUUGCGCUAUUUGAGCGGCCGAUGUCUGAUUAGCUAGUUGGUGGGGUAAAGGCCUACCAAGGCGACGAUCAGUAGCGGGUCUGAGAGGAUGAUCCGCCACACUGGGACUGAGACACGGCCCAGACUCCUACGGGAGGCAGCAGUGGGGAAUUUUGGACAAUGGGGGGAACCCUGAUCCAGCCAUGCCGCGUGUCUGAAGAAGGCCUUCGGNUUGUAAAGGACUUUUGUCAGGGAAGAAAAGCUUGAGGUUAAUACCCUUGAGUGAUGACGNACUAGANAGC